ACCAUCCCACAAGGCCCAAGGAAUAGAAGGCCUGGCCCGGACCAAAGAAAGCGAUGGCUUAGAUAGUCGGCUUAAAAGGUCAGUCUCUCGGCUCUCUUCUAGAGUACCUUGAGUCGACCGACGUCGACUAAGAGGCACCCAGCUCGGCGACCGCUCGGAUGAAUACGGGCCUCUCGGCCCAAUAAGGAAAGCCCACGAAGACGACAUAAGCUAGGUCAAGAACGACACAUCAGAGGACUAUAUAAGGAGAAGGAAGAGGAACGAGAAAGGGAUCCGAAAUCAUCUGACUAACACUUGGCGGCUAGAUUAGGGUUUUCACCUUUACUUCAUCUUGCCGUUAUUUGUACUUUUCCGGUAGCUCAUCGAGUUACCGGCCUCUUCUCUGUCGCAUUCUCUUUACUUCUCUUGUAACCGACUGAACGUUUCUUCCGACCAUAAUAAAAACGUCUUUGUUAAACCCACAUCUCCUUUUCACCGUUUUCCGAUCAAACAAGAAUGUUACACCAACUUUUGAUGAACUUGAAAAAUUCAAUAAGCCAAGUGAAAAUGGAGAGGCCGAAUUUGGUGGUCUGUCAACUUUAUUUGCAAACAGAAAGAAAGGUCACUUUAUGAAGGGUGAUGCAGUUAUCGUUAUCAAGGGGGAUCUUAAAAACUUGAAAGGUUGGGUUGAGAAAGUAGAUGAGGAAAACGUUCUGAUCAGAUCAGGAAUGAAAGGUCUCCCUGUAAGCAUCCUUACCACUUGGCUUUUGGUACUGGUUGCGUGUUUCUAAGAUCAUCGAGCCAUGGAAAAAGGCCGACCAUUACUCUUGUAUUGCAGGAUCCUCUUGCUGUAAAUGAGAAAGAGCUCUGCAAUACUUUGAGCCUGGAAAUCACGUGAAGGUUGUUUCUGGGACCCAUGAAGGAGCAACAGGCAGGGUUGUCAAAGUUGAUCAACAUGUGCUUAUCAUUCUGUCUGACACGACCAAAGAACAUGUCCGCGUGUUUGCUGAUCAUGUUGUUGAGAGCUCAGAAGUGACAACUGGUGUUACCAAAAUCGGGCAGUAUGAACUUCAUGAUCUUGUCCUUCUGGAUAACCUUAGCUUUGGAGUAAUUAUACGUCUAGAAAAUGAAGCUUUUCAGAUAAAUUGCCAACUUUCUGAAAAUACAACAAUCAUUAAGUCUUAUGUGUAGCUGCUGCAGUUUCAGAUUUUCUUUUUGUUUUUCUUUUUCUUAUAAACGCCAAUGGAUGUUUAACUCUGUUUUAAUGUCCUUAGGUUCUUAAAGGGAAUCCUGACAGACCAGAGGUUGCUCUUGUCAAACUCAGAGAAAUCAAAUGCAAACUCGAUAGGAAAAUUAGUGUUCAAGAUCGCUACAAAAAUGUCAUUGCUGUGAAAGAUGAUGUUAGAGUAAUCGAGGGUCCUAGCCAAGGUAAACAAGGUCCCGUGAGGCAUAUAUACAAAGGAGUCUUAUUUAUAUAUGAUCGGCAUCACCUUGAGCAUGCUGGAUUUAUAUGCGCUAAAUGCACAUCAUGUAUUGUUGUUGGUGGAUCACGUUCUGGUACUAAUAGAAAUG